UACGUAGGGACCAAGCGUUGUUCGGAUUUACUGGGCGUAAGGGCGCGUAGGCGGCGUGGUAAGUCAGCUGUGAAAUCUCCGAGCUUAACUCGGAACGGUCAGCUGAUACUGCUGUGCUAGAGUACAGAAAGGGCAAUCGGAAUUCUUGGUGUAGCGGUGAAAUGCGUAGAUAUCAAGAGGAACACCUGAGGUGAAGACGGGUUGCUGGGCCAACACUGACGCUGAUGCGCGAAAGCCAGGGGAGCAAACGGG
rnacentral:rRNA from 1 species